GACGAACGCUGGCGGCGUGCUUAGCACAUGCAAGUCGAACGGAAAGGCCCUGCUUUUGUGGGGUGCUCGAGUGGCGAACGGGUGAGUAACACGUGAGUAACCUGCCCUUGACUUUGGGAUAACUUCAGGAAACUGGGGCUAAUACCGGAUAGGAGCUCCUGCUGCAUGGUGGGGGUUGGAAAGUUUCGGCGGUUGGGGAUGGACUCGCGGCUUAUCAGCUUGUUGGUGGGGUAGUGGCUUACCAAGGCUUUGACGGGUAGCCGGUCUGAGAGGGUGACCGGCCACAUUGGGACUGAGAUACGGCCCAGACUCCUACGGGAGGCAGCAGUGGGGAAUAUUGCACAAUGGGCGGAAGCCUGAUGCAGCAACGCCGCGUGCGGGAUGACGGCCUUCGGGUUGUAAACCGCUUUCGCCUGUGACGAAGCGUGAGUGACGGUAAUGGGUAAAGAAGCACCGGCUAACUACGUG
rnacentral:rRNA from 1 species